GAUGAAGAACGCAGCGAAAUGCGAUAAGUAAUGUGAAUUGCAGAAUUCAGUGAAUCAUCGAAUCUUUGAACGCACAUUGCGCCCUCUGGUAUUCCGGGGGGCAUGCCUGUUCGAGCGUCAUUACAACCCUCAAGCUCUGCUUGGUAUUGGGCUCUGCCGGUCCUGGCAGGCCUCAAAGUCAGUGGCGGUGCCAUCCGGCUCCAAGCGUAGUAAUUCUCCUCGCUUCGGAGGCCGCGGUGCGUGCUAGCCAGCAACCCCCAAUUUUUUUCAGGUUGACCUCGGAUCAGGUAGGGAUACCCGCUGAACUUAAGCAUAUCAAUAACGGAGGA
rnacentral:misc_RNA from 1 species